GGAUUAACGCUGGCGGCGUGCCUAAUACAUGCAAGUCGAAUGGUUAGCGUGCUAACCAUGGCGAACGGGUGAGUAACACGUAGGCAACCUGUCUAAGAGACGAGGAUAACCAUUGGAAACGAUGGAUAAUACUGGAUAGGAUAUAAUAAGGCAUCUUGUUAUAUUUAAAGAUUUAUCACUUUUAGAGGGGCCUGCGGCGCAUUAGCUAGUUGGUGAGGUAGGGGCCCACCAAGGCGAUGAUGCGUAGCCGGACUGAGAGGUUGAACGGCCACAAUGGGACUGAGAACGGCCCAUACUCCUACGGGAGGCAGCAGUAGGGAAUUUUCGGCAAUGGACGAAAGUCCUGACCGAGCAACGCCGCGUGAACGAAGAAGUAUUUCGGUAUGUAAAGUUCUUUUGUUUGGGAAGAAAAUAAAUUGACGGUACCAAACGAAUAAGCUCCGGCUAACUACGUGCCAGCAGCAGC
rnacentral:rRNA from 1 species